rnacentral:misc_RNA from 1 species
CCCCAAUAUCAGCGCAUCCCGUUUCGCGGGGCGGGUGUUGGGGUUAAAGCCACCAAAGUAGUGGUUGCAGGCUUGAGGAGAGCCGCCGAGCGGUGGUUGGUUCUAGAGGGGAAAAUCUGCCAAGUUCAAAGGUCAGGCAAGCGAAAGGUUUACCGAGUCGGAAGGUUGGGCGAGUAAAAAAUUUACCAAGUCCAAAAUACUGCCGGCAACAUACCCGGGACUCCGAGUAAGUCGGGGAAGAAGUUGGCGGAUUUUUUCCCAACCAACUCAACUUUUGACCAAUUUACCUGCCCGAGCUCACGGGUAGGCUGCGGUUUAUUUUUGGACUUUGUAGAUUUGCUUGAAUCAAUUUACAGGAAGUUGCCUGCCGAAUUACCUGGGCUCCCGGGUAGGCUAUAGUUAACUUUUGGACUUUCGACUAUAACCUGGGAUUUUCCCAACUAUAGCUCACGGGUAGGUUAGUUGUGAUUUUUGGACGGUGAAAUUUCUACUUUCCUGCCAAGUCUAGCCUACCCGGGAGCCCAGGCAAGUCGGGCAGGUAAAUUCCGCCAACUCGGCAGGAAACUAAUUGCAAAUCAAUUCAAGCAAAUAUGCCAAGUCCACAAAUCAAUCGCAGCCUACCCGGUAAGUAUAAGUUGAUUUUUUUUUAUAUAUAUAAAUAAAUUCUGCGGAAAAUAAAAAAUAAGCUAUAAAGGCCUGGUAGCGGAGGCGAGCUCUUAAGGUAGUGGGUGGGUAUAUAAGAGGGAGGGCUGGACACGCGUUGCGCCGCGUAUUUCCACCGCACCCAAUACUUUUAGCUUUAGGGUAGGCUGCUUGUUUAGAGGCGUGCUGAAUUAAAUGGUCUCUCAAGUGAGGGGAUUUCUCUGCUGGCAGUUGCUUGUGAUCCGGGAGUCCGUGGCGGUAAAGUCAACUGUAAGGCUUGUGUGUGUGCCGGGGCCCUGUAGGUCCCGACCAGGAACCCUACAGGCCACGUGCCGAUAUAAUAAGAUAGAUAAGGUAUACGGCACGUGCUAAUACACGUGCCAAUACAAGUAACGAUAAGAUCAACAAGAUACCUGCACGUGCCUAGUCACGGAGACUUACACGUGUCCCGCUGCCAAGAUCCCCGAGGUUGCCGACCUCGCCGACUACUCCUGGUGUAAUGUGCCGGUGUAGUUAUAUAUAAUUUCUUACUAGUCUCAAUAAUAGUACACUCGUUUAUCGCGAUGCACUCACUUGUGGUGCGGGUGUGCGGGUGUGCUGACGUACUUGUGGUGGUGCACUUACUCUACAAUAGUGCUGGUACUUGCGGUCAUAUACAAGUUCCUAGUAUUUUGGCGUAGUUGUGGCCGUGGUCGUGCAGUUACAGCAGUGUACUUACCCUGUAGUACUGCUGGCACCGGCCACCGUCGCGUGCACGCGGCUGCCGUCGGCCGUGGUAGAGGGUUACCCGGGACCACGGUGCAUUUUUCCGUUUUUUCCAUUUUUUCAAAAUCGACGACCAAAAAGUUGGUAGGUCUGGGUUGCCUUGCUGGCCAAUAGAGAUUUGUAUGGCGCUACUAUAGGGUAGGUAUAGGGUAGGCUGUACCGGUACUUGCGGUCGCACACAAAUCCCUAGCAGCCUGGAGUACCCCCGCGCGCGGGCAACUUCAAGCCGCUAGAGCUGCUCCCAGCGGCAUCGCGCACAGCUAUGAGGGCCACCAUUCGAUUCGUCUCGCCGAGCUGCAUCGAUUGAGCCCGGGUUGCCAAAAAGUCGGGUGUUUUGGUAUUUGAUUUGUAUGGGCGUGAGUCGAUUUUUUUGUUUUCCCAUACAAAUGAAUUUUGCGGAAAAUAAAAAAUGGACCACGAGCGCCCGGUGGCGGAGGUGGACCCUCGAGGUGGUCGGUGGGUAUAUGAGAAGGGGGCGUCGAAAGAUGCCGGGACAGCUGGGUCUUCGCUGAAAGGCAGGAUUUCCGGUGAGUCACCGCCCUCUCUGUACCAUAUCUUGCCGAGCCCCAGUGCUUGAGUGGCCUCCUGAACACGCCUGUAGAAGGUCUCUUUUACAGGCCGGGAGGUCACACUGGGGAUUCAAACUCCACGAAGUCGGCGGCUACGGCCGUGCGGCGUACUGGUUAUACCUCGUGGCAGUGGGAGGCACCCGCCUCUUACCGCUCAGGAGAUGGGUUCUGUGGGCUGCUGGCCGCUGGCCAACAUGCCGUAAAUCAGAAUAACGGGAGGCAACCACGGGUAGCUGACGCCGAAAUGGCAGAGGCUGCACGGAGCGUCCUCCUCUUAGGGCACCUAUACCGCACUUUACGGUGCGUGUGGACGGCUGCGCCUAGGGAAUUGAGAGGGGGAAAGCGGAUUUGCCGCUGGGCGGUCUCUCCCGGUCAAACGGGCAGGGCACCUCCCGGCGCGCAGCACCCUUUCGAGUGGGGGAAAGGUGUGCCGACCAGUAACUUGGACUAUUCUCUCCGGCGCCCUCAACAGGGCGUCGGUAGGCCAACCCCGGCGAACGAUAGU